AUUGAACGCUGGCGGCAGGCCUAACACAUGCAAGUCGGACGGUAGUACAGAGUAGCUUGCUCCUCGGGUGACGAGUGGCGGACGGGUGAGUAAUGUCUGGGGAUCUGCCCGAUAGAGGGGGAUAACCACUGGAAACGGUGGCUAAUACCGCAUAACGUCGCAAGACCAAAGAGGGGGACCUUCGGGCCUCUCUCUAUCGGAUGAACCCAGAUGGGAUUAGCUAGUAGGCGGGGUAACGGCCCACCUAGGCGACGAUCCCUAGCUGGUCUGAGAGGAGGACCAGCCACACUGGAACUGAGACACGGUCCAGACUCCUACGGGAGGCAGCAGUGGGGAAUAUUGCACAAUUGGCGCAAGCCUGAUGAAGCCAUGCCGCGUGUAUGAAGAAGGCCUUCGGGUUGUAAAGUACUUUCAGCGGGGAGGAAGGCGAUGUGGUUAAUAACCGCAUUGAUUGACGUUACCCGCAGAAGAAGCACCGGCUAACUCCGUGCCAGCCGCCGCGGUAA
rnacentral:rRNA from 1 species